rnacentral:rRNA from 1 species
UAAGGAAUAUUGGACAAUGGGGGCAACCCUGAUCCAGCCAUGCCGCGUGAAGGAUGAAGGCCCUCUGGGUUGUAAACUUCUUUUGUACGGGAAUAAACCCCUCUACGUGUAGAGGGUUGAAUGUACCGUAAGAAUAAGGAUCGGCUAACUUCGUGCCAGCAGCCGCGGUAAUACGAAGGAUCCAAGCGUUAUCCGGAUUUAUUGGGUUUAAAGGGUGCGUAGGCGGGCUAUUAAGUCAGUGGUGAAAGCCCCAAGCUUAACUUGGGAAUUGCCAUUGAUACUGAUGGUCUUGAGUACACUUGAGGUGGGCGGAAUGUGUCAUGUAGCGGUGAAAUGCUUAGAUAUGACACAGAACACCGAUUGCGAAGGCAGCUCACUAAAUUGUAACUGACGCUGAGGCACGAAAGCGUGGGGAUCAAACAGGAUUAGAUACCCCCGUAGUCC